UACGUAGGGUCCGAGCGUUGUCCGGAAUUACUGGGCGUAAAGAGCUCGUAGGUGGUUUGUCGCGUUGUCCGUGAAAACUCACAGCUCAACUGUGGGCGUGCGGGCGAUACGGGCAGACUAGAGUACUGCAGGGGAGACUGGAAUUCCUGGUGUAGCGGUGGAAUGCGCAGAUAUCAGGAGGAACACCGGUGGCGAAGGCGGGUCUCUGGGCAGUAACUGACGCUGAGGAGCGAAAGCGUGGGGAGCGAACAGG
rnacentral:rRNA from 1 species